rnacentral:tRNA from 1 species
GCCAGCAUGGCACAGUGGUUUGAGUGUUGGACUAUGACUCUGGAAGACCAGAGUUCAAAUCCCCACUCUGCCA